rnacentral:lncRNA from 1 species
UGGUGAUGAUGGAAGCGGCGGUGAGGACGAUAAGGCGGGCGCCAACGAUGAUGGCUGGGUUGGGUACUCAUAGUGGAGGGGGGGAGGAAGAUCAGAAGAGAGCACGCGAGAGGAGAAUGGGAGGAGAUAAAGUGUUUGGGUAAAGUAACCGAGGAAGAGGAGAGCAGAGGGAGGAGAGUCACGAGGUUGGGCCGGGCUUAGGCUCGAGCUCGGUCUUGGGCUGGUCCGAUCGAGUUCGAACUGGGCUUGUGCCUUAAAUUUUAAAAUAUUUUCGGGUCUAUGUCUAGUCAGAAGCCCAAAAAAAUAUUUUGGAUCAGGC